rnacentral:rRNA from 1 species
UACAGAGGUCCCAAGCGUUGUUCGGAUUCACUGGGCGUAAAGGGUGCGUAGGUGGCGAGGUAAGUCGGAUGUGAAAGCUCGGAGCUCAACUCCGAAAUGGCAUUGGAAACUACCUUGCUCGAGGGUUGGAGGGGGGACUGGAAUUCCCGGUGUAGCAGUGAAAUGCGUAGAUAUCGAGAGGAACACCAGUGGCGAAGGCGAGUCCCUGGACAACUCCUGACACUGAGGCACGAAAGCUAGGGGAGCAAACAGG